GGCCUGAUGGUCUAGUGGUAUGAUUGUCGCUUCGUAAGCUUGCCCCGCCGCCACCAACACCCAACCAGCAUCGUCCUAACAAUCAUCUAGGGGUUUCUCUACCUGGAUACAGUGUAUCUGUUAUGUGACAGGCCCCGGGUUCGAAUCCCGGUCAGGCCC
rfam:Cochliobolus sativus ND90Pr unplaced genomic scaffold COCSAscaffold_15, whole genome shotgun sequence.